rnacentral:rRNA from 1 species
UUCUGGUUGAUCCCGCCGGAGGUCACUGCUAUUGGGAUUCGACUAAGCCAUGCGAGUCGAGAGGGUUCGGCCCUCGGCUGACGGCUCAGUAACACGUGGAUAAUCUACCCUAAGGUGGAGGAUAACCUCGGGAAACUGAGAAUAAUACUCCAUAAGUCUAGGAUACUGGAAUGUACUUAGGCUGAAAACUUCGGUGCCCUAGGAUGAGUCUGCGGACUAUCAGGUUGUAGUCAGGGUAAAGACCUGACUAGCCUACAACGGAUACGGGUUGUGAGAGCAAUAACCCGGAGAUGAUAUCUGAGACACGAUAUCAGGCCCUACGGGGCGCAGCAGGCGCGAAAACUUCACACUGCGCGAAAGCGCGAUGAGGGAAUCCCAAGUGCUUGCACGUAAGUGUAAGCUGUUUCUAUGUUUAAAACGCAUAGAGAGUAAGAGCUGGGUAAGACGGGUGCCCAGCCGCCCGCGGUAA